CACGUAGGGGACGAGCGUUGUCCGGAUUCAUUGGGCGUAAAGCGCGCGUAGGCGGCUCGGAAAGUCGGUCGUGAAAUGCCGGGGCUCAACCCCGGGACUGCGUCCGAUACUCCCGAGCUGGAGGCAGGUAGGGGAGAUCGGAAUCCUGGUGUAGCGGUGAAAUGCGCAGAUAUCAGGAGGAACACCGGUGGCGAAGGCGGGUCUCUGGGCCGUAACUGACGCUGGAGGAGCGAAAGCGUGGGGAGCGAACAGG
rnacentral:rRNA from 1 species